CUCCAAGCUGAGAUCAUUCUAAUAUAGUCAUAAGUUUGCAUAUAAAACUAGUUGUCCCAUGUUAAAUGCUUCUAUCGGUGAUCAUGGAUUUAAAAUCCGCACUAGUUCAUUCCAGCUGAUGACAAGGUGUGCAUAAGUGAUGAUUUUUCAAGCUUUUCCAAGGCUGAGAUCACUAAAAUGCAUGUUAUAUGCUGAUAUACAAUUAGCCCUUUUCUCAUACCUAAUAAUUAAUAUACUGAUAUGCAAUGGUAAAAAAUUACUUAAAUGUUAAACUGCGUUUUCACUGAAUACAGAGUCAUCUUCUGUAAUAGUAGUAUGCAAUACAAAAAUCAGGAAGUGGCGUAAUUAUGCCAAAUUUCAGGCAUUUGAAAUGCACUUAAAUGUAGCUUCAUAACUUUCUGUUCAUGUAGACUUGAAUAUUAAUUUUUCCUUCCUGCCAGUCUCAUGUUUUUGGUCUUCUUCUUCUUCAAAAGCUGGAUGCCUUAAAAUAAUUUUCAUUUUUUUGUUUGAGAAGUCUUCUAGAAUUACAUGCAUGAUCAUGAGACAAUCUUCAAAUAGUAUAUACAUAUUAAUUUGAUCAUGGUUUCUCAUUUUAGGAGAAUGGAUGCUUG
rnacentral:misc_RNA from 1 species